rnacentral:lncRNA from 1 species
AUCAAACUGGUCCCACUGGCACAGCUACAGAGAAAGUGGGCGGAGGAUCAAAAACUGGGUUUUAUUUGCAUUGUGUUCCUCAUUCUGUUCAGAAACUAAACAUUUAGCAUGCAGGAGAUGGGACCAUCUGUUGGUUCCAUAUACUGAGAGUGCUAAACUGUAAGAAAUCUUCUACGUGUUGGAAUUAAUUUCAAUCCCAGUCACUGGUUUCUUUUCCUUGCCCUGAAAUGUACAGGAUGCCUUAUGGCCUGUUAUGCAAAUAGUUGGCUAUAGUCUGAUUCAUGGAACUUAAUUAGAGCAUUUCAUAAAUCACAGCUUUCCUCACCCACCUCAGGGCCCUGAGCAGGAAGGAGGGCUGACACUUUGCAGUCAUCUCCUGCCUUGUGGGUUUGAACACUGCAUGAGCAGCUCUGACAGUCCCAGGGAGCCUGAAGUUGUUCAUGAGGAUAUCUUUCACAGAUCACCUUGUUUCCUGUGCCAAAUCAGCACUGACAGGAACCAAAGAGCUGAAUUCUAAGGAAGAUUGAAUUCUGACUCCUUUUGCACUGGGAAGCCAAGCAACCACACAACUUGCAGGACCUGGGAUAGUUUUCUUCUCAUGGUAAGACUUCCUGGAGUUGUAUUAAAGACUGUCCUGUUCUUUUAAAGUCACUUUAGUACCCUAUGGUGGU